rnacentral:rRNA from 1 species
GAUGAACGCUGGCGGCGUGCCUAAUACAUGCAAGUCGAGCGAACCACUUCGGUGGUGAGCGGCGAACGGGUGAGUAACACGUAGGUGAUCUGCCCAUCAGACGGGGACAACGAUUGGAAACGAUCGCUAAUACCGGAUAGGACGACAGUUUAAAGGUGCUUCUGGCACCGCUGCUGGAUGAGCCUGCGGCGCAUUAGCUAGUUGGUAGGGUAAAGGCCUACCAAGGCGACGAUGCGUAGCCGACCUGAGAGGGUGAACGGCCACACUGGGACUGAGACACGGCCCAGACUCCUACGGGAGGCAGCAGUAGGGAAUCUUUGGCAAUGGGCGAAAGCCUGACCGAGCAACGCCGCGUGAAUGAUGAAGGCCUUCGGGUUGUAAAAUUCUGUUAUAAGGGAAGAACGACUUUAGUAGGAAAUGGCUAGAGUGUGACGGUACCUUAUGAGAAAGCCACGGCUAACUACGUGCCAGCAGCCGCAGUAAAAC